rnacentral:tRNA from 1 species
AGAUGGGUGUCCGAGUGGUUGAAGGAGCACGCCUGGAACGCGUGUAAGGUGAAAGCCUUCGAGAGUUCGAAUCUCUUCCCAUCUGCCA